rnacentral:rRNA from 1 species
ACAUCCAGAGAAUUUAGCAGAGAUGCUUUAGUGCCUUCGGGAACUCUGAGACAGGUGCUGCAUGGCUGUCGUCAGCUCGUGUUGUGAAAUGUUGGGUUAAGUCCCGCAACGAGCGCAACCCUUAUCCUUUGUUGCCAGCACGUAAUGGUGGGAACUCAAAGGAGACUGCCGGUGAUAAACCGGAGGAAGGUGGGGAUGACGUCAAGUCAUCAUGGCCCUUACGAGUAGGGCUACACACGUGCUACAAUGGCGCAUACAAAGAGAAGCGACCUCGCGAGAGCAAGCGGACCUCAUAAAGUGCGUCGUAGUCCGGAUUGGAGUCUGCAACUCGACUCCAUGAAGUCGGAAUCGCUAGUAAUCGUAAAUCAGAAUGUUACGGUGAAUACGUUCCCGGGCCUUGUACACACCGCCCGUCACACCAUGGGAGUGGGUUGCAAAAGAGGUAGAUAGCUUAACCUUCGGGAGGGCGUUUACCACUUUGUGAUUCAUGACUGGGGUGAAGUCGUAACAAGGUAGGCGUAGUGCU